rnacentral:rRNA from 1 species
AUUGGACAAUGGGCGCAAGCCUGAUCCAGCCAUACCGCGUGGGUGAAGAAGGCCUUCGGGUUGUAAAGCCCUUUUGUUGGGAAAGAAAUCCAGCCGGCUAAUACCUGGUUGGGAUGACGGUACCCAAAGAAUAAGCACCGGCUAACUUCGUGCCAGCAGCCGCGGUAAUACGAAGGGUGCAAGCGUUACUCGGAAUUACUGGGCGUAAAGCGUGCGUAGGUGGUUGUUUAAGUCUGUUGUGAAAGCCCUGGGCUCAACCUGGGAACUGCAGUGGAAACUGGACAACUAGAGUGUGGUAGAGGGUAGCGGAAUUCCCGGUGUAGCAGUGAAAUGCGUAGAGAUCGGGAGGAACAUCCAUGGCGAAGGCAGCUACCUGGACCAACACUGACACUGAGGCACGAAAGCGUGGGGAGCAAACAGGAUUAGAUACCCUGGUAGUCCACGCCCUAAACGAUGCGAACUGGAUGUUGGGUGCAAUUUGGCACGCAGUAUCGAAGCUAACGCGUUAAGUUCGCCGCCUGGGGAGGUACG